rnacentral:misc_RNA from 1 species
GAUGAAGAACGUAGCAAAAUGCGAUAAGUAGUGUGAAUUGCAGAAUUCAGUGAAUCAUCGAAUCUUUGAACGCACAUUGCGCCCUUUGGUAUUCCUUAGGGCAUGCCUGUUCGAGCGUCAUUUUCACCUUCAAGCACAGCUUGGUGUUGGGCUUCGCCGCUAACCCGGCGGGUCUUAAAAUCAGUGGCGGUGCCGUCGGGCCCUGAGCGCAGUAAUCUCUCUCGCUAUAGGGUCCCGGCGGAUGCUGGCCAGUAACCCCCAAUUUUCUAUGGUUGACCUCGGAUCAGGUAGGGAUACCCGCUGAACUUAAGCAUAUCAAUAAGCGGAGGA